rnacentral:rRNA from 1 species
AUUAGAUACCCUGGUAGUCCACGCCCUAAACGAUGUCAACUAGCUGUUGGGGCCUUCGGGCCUUAGUAGCGCAGCUAACGCGUGAAGUUGACCGCCUGGGGAGUACGGUCGCAAGAUUAAAACUCAAAGGAAUUGACGGGGACCCGCACAAGCGGUGGAUGAUGUGGAUUAAUUCGAUGCAACGCGAAAAACCUUACCUACCCUUGACAUGUCUGGAAUCCCGAAGAGAUUUGGGAGUGCUCGCAAGAGAACCGGAACACAGGUGCUGCAUGGCUGUCGUCAGCUCGUGUCGUGAGAUGUUGGGUUAAGUCCCGCAACGAGCGCAACCCUUGUCAUUAGUUGCUACGAAAGGGCACUCUAAUGAGACUGCCGGUGACAAACCGGAGGAAGGUGGGGAUGACGUCAAGUCCUCAUGGCCCUUAUGGGUAGGGCUUCACACGUCAUACAAUGGUCGGGACAGAGGGUCGCCAACCCGCGAGGGGGAGCCAAUCCCAGAAACCCGAUCGUAGUCCGGAUCGUAGUCUGCAACUCGACUACGUGAAGUCGGAAUCGCUAGUAAUCGCGGAUCAGCAUGUCGCGGUGAAUACGUUCCCGGGUCUUGUACACACCGCCCGUCACACCAUGGGAGUGGGUUUCACCAGAAGUAGUUAGCCUAACCGCAAGGGGGGCGAUUACCACGGUGGGGUUCAUGACUGGGGUGAAGUCGUAACAAGGUA